UUACACAGAAAUAAAUGGUCUCUCACAUCUUGAACCAGAUUACUGUUGGUUUGGCAAGUAUGAAUGAUUCUAGCCUCUUUUUAGAGGAACUAUGCUUUCCAUUUCAAUCAGAAUAUUCUGUUAUUAGAAGCAAUUACAUAGAGUUUGGCCAACUAGAAUGGCUCGACAGAAAAAAUGGUCCUAAUUGUUCACUCUCUAAUGAUGUUGGCAAGUAACGUUGAUUGUUUGAAACGCUGGCGGUGCUUCUGUUUUCCACAAUGUAAGCCCAGGAUUAUGCGAUGGUGCUCAAUUUGGAUUUGUUGCAUAGCUAGAAGGAUGAUCUUGUAGUAAUUGCUGAAGACCGUUAUAUCCCAAGGUAUUGAUUCUUUCGAAUCCCAGUUAAAAAAAAAGAGUCAGAUUUAUAUAUAUUUUGCAUCAUUAUAAUUAGUCUACUUGGGUUAGCUUAAGAUUACAGAGAACAGCCUACUACAUGGGGUAAUAAAUCUUUCUUAUAGCAUGCAUAUCCAUAUAUAGCAAGCAAAGUUUCACUUAGUUGGUUCUUAGGCACUAGACCGUCUUUAGCUUCUAAUUAGCUGCUCAUGAAUUCUUGGCAUCUUAUUUUAUUCUUCUUAUUGGGGUGUUUUAUAGCACCGUAGAUUUUUUCAAGGAGCUUCUUCAGUUUGUUGUCAAGGCUGGUUCAAUUUUAAGUAAUAUUUAUGGUGUAGAUUGGGAAAACAAACUUGAGUUAAGAUUUGUGCAUUCAAGUCCCGUAGCAACGCGCGGGCGUAUUUUCUAGUAAGGACUAAGGGAAAACAAAAUCAGAUUGUUCGCUUCCACCCAUGCUCAACUAGUAAUCUUAAUUCCCAAACAUCUCGUCUGCAUUUUGUUCCGUUUAAUGUUUAAUAUAUGUUUAUUGGAUCCUAAAUUAUUGAAUUUAUGAUUGAAUCGUGAGUUGAUCUUAUUGUAUUAGUCGAGCUCAUCGUAAUACACAUCUCAAACGCGCUGAAUGCAUCAAGCUGUAUAAGGAUGUCAUCAGAGUUUCUUUCUCUACCAAUUUCGUUUCUUAUUA